GGAAUAUUGGUCAAUGGAGGGAACUCUGAACCAGCCAUGCCGCGUGGAGGAAGAAGGUCCUAUGGGUUGUAAACUCCUUUUGUUCCGGAGUAAUAAGUGCCUUGCGAGGCACGAUGAGAGUACGGGACGAAUAAGCAUCGGCUAACUCCGUGCCAGCAGCCGCGGUAAUACGGAGGAUGCAAGCGUUAUCCGGAUUUAUUGGGUUUAAAGGGUGCGCAGGCGGACAGUUAAGUCAGCGGUGAAAUCUCACGGCUCAACCGUGGAACUGCCGUUGAUACUGGCUGUCUAGAGUACGGACGGCGCCGGCGGAAUGUGUCAUGUAGCGGUGAAAUGCUUAGAUAUGCCACAGAACACCGAUCGCGAAGGCAGCUGGCGAGGCCGGUACUGACGCUCAGGCACGAAAGCGUGGGGAUCAAACA
rnacentral:rRNA from 1 species